rnacentral:lncRNA from 1 species
UUCUUUGGUAUUCAAUUCCUGCAUUGUCGGUACCUGCACCCGCAGAUAAGUAUUUCUUAAUUCUGAUUUGCAAUAUACCCAUUUUGCCAUUCUGUUUCUUUUUCAUUCUCAUUCUCGUCCUAAUGGAUGUCAAAUGCAGUUAAUGCAGUUUGGUGAGGUUGUCCGAUAGAGGGAAGGAUGUUGAUGCAUCACAAUUCAACUUUUUAACGUAUAAUAGUAAAUGUCUAUAAACCUUCAAAUUCUUCUUUCCUUUUGUCUUCCUCCUAUUUACACACACACACAUAUUAUCAAGAACCAGACGUUCAUUUUAUUGCAGCAUUUGCAAUGAGAAUUUCAGUGCUUUUACUUGUGCUUGUUCAUCAUCAAAUUCUGGUGGGCAUAGGUUCAAAUGCUGUGGCAAGAGAGAUUUUCUUCGUCCCAACAGAUUCUUCUUCUGAUCAUAGAAAAUUGUCAUCAGAUUCUGCAACCAGCAGCACUUCCAUUAGACUCCAUUUUUCCAGGUAUUCAUCAUCGAAAAACAAGAUUGUGGACGAAGAUGAAGACGACAAGCGCGUGGUUCCAACAGGAUCAAAUCCCUUACACAACAGGUAGAAGAGAAGGGAUUUUCUUGCAAUCUUGAUUGUUUAGCAGAAAUUAGUAUUGCAUAAUUAUCCUCUUGUUUGCAUUAUGCAAUAGUUGGCUACCAAAUGAUGCUUCCUAAUUAUCAUUACUAUUUUGAGGCAAUCAUGUUGCAUGUAAUUAUAAUUAUUUAAUUAUGCAGAUCCAAUGAAUUAUGAAUUUUUAUAUAUCC